GCUGAAAACUUCAAAAGAAUCUUGGUUUGUCUUACUUUGUGGUUUCCAGGUUGGGGAUCUGGAGCUGCAAUUAACAUUGUUGCCACGUUCAUCAAGACCUUGACCGUGACCAGGUAGAUGCUUCAGUGAGCAUCCCUCUCUUCCUCCUCUCAGUAACAUGUCACAACCCAUGGGGCCUGUGGCAGGCUCUCCCAAGGGAGACCCCCAACAUUGGUGGCCAUAUUUGCAUGUGGAAUUCCCUGUGCUGCCAUGAUCAAAUUUAGAUGAUCAUGAAAUACUGAGUGGAAAUGAAAAAAAAAAAUGGAAGUUUCAAAUGGGAAACAGAGUUCGAGAGGAGACAGAGCAAUUGUGUUAGAGCCAGAUAACAGAAUGGCCUUAAACAAUAGCACGUGACAUGGGCUGGGAAGGGUAUAGUUUGAGUCUGAUUCAUCAGUAAGCUCGGUAUCAUAUCCUUGGCAUAUUCAUUUAUUGAAUACUUAUUUUGCUAACGUCUAACGUCUUAUGAGGUCUUAUCCAAUGGGUAUCCAAGGUCCUUGUCAAACCCAAGAAAACCAUUUCCUCUCAUUCAGAUGACAUCAAUAUGGUGGUCCAUCAUUCCAAGAUAGUCGACACUCCAUAAGCACAUGUCACUUGAUGAAGCUCGUGAGAGGAGCAUGUGGAGUCCAGCUUCAGUGUCUGCACACCACAGAAUGAGGAUGCUACCUACUCACUCUCGACUGCCACAGAGGCAGCCAGAACCAUAAAUAGUUGUCCUU